rnacentral:lncRNA from 10 species
AGCCGGAGCCGACGGGCGGUGGCCGCACUGGGACCCCGGAAUCCCGCGCGCUGCCCACGAUUCGCUUCUGAGACUGAGUUUUGCUCUCGUCACCCAGGCUGGAGUGCAAUGGUGCAAUCACGGCUCACCGCAACCUUCGCCUCCCAGUUCUGGAGGCCAGAAGUUUGAAAACAAUAUCACUGGACCAAAAUCAAGGUGUCACUAGGGCUGUGCAUUCUUCCUCUGGAGGUCGUAUGGGAGAAUC